rnacentral:rRNA from 1 species
GAUGAGCGCUGGCGGCGUGCCUAAUACAUGCAAGUCGAGCGAACAGAUAAGGAGCUUGCUCCUUUGACGUUAGCGGCGGACGGGUGAGUAACACGUGGGUAACCUACCUAUAAGACUGGAAUAACUCCGGGAAACCGGGGCUAAUGCCGGAUAACAUUUAGAACCGCAUGGUUCUAAAGUGAAAGAUGGUUUUACUAUCACUUAUAGAUGGACCCGCGCCGUAUUAGCUAGUUGGUAAGGUAACGGCUUACCAAGGCAACGAUACGUAGCCGACCUGAGAGGGUGGUCGGCCACACUGGAACUUAGACACGGUCCAGACUCCUACGAGAGGCAGCAGUAGGGAAUGUUCCGCAGUGGGCGAAAGCCUGACGGAGCAACGCCGCGUGAGUGAUGAAGGUCUUCGGAUCGUAAAACUCUGUUAUUAGGGAAAAACAAAUGUGUAAGUAACUGUGCACGUCUUGACGGUACCUAAUAAGAAAGCCACGGCUAACUACGUG